GACGAACGCUGGCGGCGUGCUUAACACAUGCAAGUCGAACGGAAAGGCCCUGCUUUUGUGGGUCCUCGGGUGGCGACCGGGGGAGUAACACGUGAGUAACCUGCUCUUUACUUUGGGAUAACUUCAGGGAACUGGGGCUACUACCGGCUAGGAGUUUCUGCAGCAUGGUGGGGGUUGGAAAGUUUCGGCGGUUGGGGAUGGACUCGCGGCUAAUCAGCUUGUUUGUGGGGUAGGGGCUUACCAAGGCUUUGCCGGGUAGCCGGCCUGAGAGGGGGACCGGCCACAAUGGGACUGAGAUACGGCCCAGACUCCUACGGGAGGCAGCAGUGGGGAAUAUUGCAGAAUGGGCGGAAGCCUGAGGCAGCAACGCCGCGUGCGGGAUGACGGGCUUCGGGGUGUAAACCGCUUUCGCCGGUGACGAAGCGGGAGUGACGGUAAUGGGUAAAAAAGCACCGGCUAACUACGUG
rnacentral:rRNA from 1 species